rnacentral:rRNA from 1 species
GAGUAACACGUAGGCAACCUGCCUUUAGGACGAGGAUAACUCCGAGAAAUCGGGGCUAAUACUCGAUGAUGCAGCGGCACCGCAUGGUGACAGUUGUUAAAAGCCCGCAAGGGUGCCUAGAGAUGGGCCUGCGUCCCAUUAGGUAGUUGGUGAGGUAACGGCCCACCAAGCCUACGACGGGUAGCUGGUCUGAGAGGAUGAUCAGCCACACUGGAACUGAGAUACGGUCCAGACUCCUACGGGAGGCAGCAGUGAGGAAUAUUGCGCAAUGUCCGAAAGGGUGACGCAGCGACGCCGCGUGGAGGAUGAAGGCCCUUUGGGUCGUAAACUCCUUUUGAGAGGGAAGAAUAGUUUAGUAUAGCGAGAUUUGACGGUACCUCUAGAAAAAGCACCGGCCAACUACGUGCCAGCAGCCGCGGUAAUACGUAGGGUGCAAGCGUUGUCCGGAUUUACUGGGUGUAAAGGGAGCGCAGGCGGGUUAGCAAGUCGUUGGUGAAAUUCCGAGGCUCAACCUCAGAACUGCCAAUGAUACUGGUGAUCUUGAGUACAGAAGAGGAAGGUGGAAUUCCAGGUGUAGCGGUGAAAUGCGUAGAUAUCAGGAAGAACACCGGUGGCGAAGGCGGUGUCCUGGUU